rnacentral:rRNA from 1 species
GUGAGGAAUAUUGCGCAAUGGAGGCAACUCUGACGCAGCCAUGCCGCGUGCAGGAAGAAGGCGCUACGCGUUGUAAACUGCUUUUAACCGGGAAGAAACCCCAGGACGUGUCCUGGGUUGACGGUACCGGAGGAAUAAGCACCGGCUAACUUCGUGCCAGCAGCCGCGGUAAUACGAAGGGUGCAAGCGUUAUCCGGAUUCAUUGGGUUUAAAGGGUGCGUAGGCGGAGCGUUAAGUCAGUGGUGAAAUCCUGCAGCUUAACUGUAGAAUUGCCAGUGAUACUGGAGCUCGUGAGUGCACUUGAAGUGGGCGGAAUGUGCCGUGUAGCGGUGAAAUGCUUAGAUAUGGCACAGAACACCAAUUGCGAAGGCAGCUCACUAAGGCGAUACUGACGCUGAGGCACGAAAGCGUGGGGAUCGAACAGGAUUAGAUACCCGUGUAGUCC